CUACGAAAGUAUCUACGAUUUCAAGAAUAAGAAGUCACGUUCUGCUGACCUGUAUAGACGCGUUUUCGAAACUAACGUGUGGAGUUUAUUGAACGUUCUGGAUUUUGAUAAACAAACAGUAAUCGUGCCAGACAUUUCUUACAUGAUGCGUCGCGCUGCAAUACCUGAUUCAGAUCCUGUUUGCACCCCGGUACCCGUGGAGAACAGCAUGUUGGUCCCUACAGUUUCAACGGAUCUACGAGCAGCUCCAGAGGAGAAAAAGAAAG
rnacentral:misc_RNA from 1 species